GAUGAACGCUAGCUACAGGCUUAACACAUGCAAGUCGAGGGGCAUCACGAGGUAGCAAUACUUUGGUGGCGACCGGCGCACGGGUGAGUAACGCGUAUGUAACCUACCCUGUACAGGGGGAUAGCCCGGAGAAAUUCGGAUUAAUACCCCAUAAUGAUAUCUGGAGGCAUCUUUAGAUAUUUAAAGCUUCGGCGGUACGGGAUGGGCAUGCGUGACAUUAGCUAGUUGGUAAGGUAACGGCUUACCAAGGCUGCGAUGUCUAGGGGUCCUGAGAGGGUGAUCCCCCACACUGGUACUGAGACACGGACCAGACUCCUACGGGAGGCAGCAGUGAGGAAUAUUGGUCAAUGGGCGUAAGCCUGAACCAGCCAUCCCGCGUGAAGGAAGAAGGCGCUAUGCGUCGUAAACUUCUUUUCCAGAGGAAUAAAAUUUUGUACGAGUACAGAACUGAAGGUACUCUGGGAAUAAGCAUCGGCUAACUCCGUGCCAGCCGCCGCCGUAAGAC
rnacentral:rRNA from 1 species